rnacentral:tRNA from 1 species
GGUAGAGCGCCACCUUGCCAAGGUGGAGGUAGCGAGUUCGAGCCUCGUAACCCGCUCCA